AGUCACUGACAUUAGAUACCCGCGUAGUCCAGGGUGUAAACGCUGCAGACUUGGUGUUGGAAGUCCUUUGGGGGCAUUCAGUGCCGGAGAGAAGUUGUUAAGUCUGCUACUUGGGGAGUACGUCCGCAAGGAUGAAACUUAAAGGAAUUGGCGGGGGAGCACCGCAACGGGAGGAGCGUGCGGUUUAAUUGGAUUCAACACCGUAAACUCACCAGGGAAGACUGUUACAUGAAGGCCGAGAUGAAGACUCUGCUAGAUUUUCAG
rnacentral:rRNA from 1 species